GACGGAGGGUGCUAGCGUUGUUCGGAAUCACUGGGCGUAAAGGGCGCGUAGGCGGCCUUGCAAGUCGGUUGGUGAAAGCCCGGGGCUCAACCCCGGAGGUGCGGCCGAGACUGCAGGGCUGGAGGCCGGAAGAGGAGGGUGGAAUACCCAGUGUAGAGGUGAAAUUCGUAGAUAUUCGCAAGAACACCAGUGGCGAAGGCGGCUCACUGGCCCGGUACUGACGCUGAGGUGCGAAAGCGUGGGGAGCAAACAGG
rnacentral:rRNA from 1 species